rnacentral:rRNA from 1 species
AGAGUUUGAUCCUGGCUCAGAACGAACGCUGGCGGCGUGCUUAACACAUGCAAGUCGAACGGGAUCCAGAGCUUGCUCUGGUGAGAGUGGCGCACGGGUGAGUAACGCGUGGAUAACCUGCCCUGGUAUCCGGAAUAACAUCUCGAAAGGGGUGCUAAUACCGGAUAAGCCUACGGAGCCCUCGGUCUCUGCAGGAAARGGUGGCCUCUAUUUAUAAGCUACCGUAUCAGGAUGGGUCCGCGUACCAUUAGCUAGUUGGUGGGGUAAUGGCCUACCAAGGCGACGAUGGUUAGCUGGUCUGAGAGGAUGAUCAGCCACACUGGAACUGAGACACGGUCCAGACUCCUACGGGAGGCAGCAGUGGGGAAUUUUGCGCAAUGGGGGAAACCCUGACGCAGCAACGCCGCGUGAGUGAUGAAGGCUUUCGGGUCGUAAAGCUCUGUCAGAGGGGAAGAAAUGAGAUUGGCUAAUAUCCAAUUUUCUUGACGGUACCCUCAAAGGAAGCACCGGCUAACUCCGUGCCAGCAGCCGCGGUAA